UCUUUGUUAUGGAUCGAAAACUCGUAGUUAUAUCUGCGCAUGGUCAAUUAAAUCAAAACAUCCGGUUUGUUCAGCCCACAUUGAGCUCCACAUUUUAUAGGCAUGUUUGGUUGUCUAAUUAACUGUUUAGGUUCAAAUAAUUAUUACAAAGGCCCUGACGGGAUAUCUUGUCCAAUUUAAAAGUCUACCGGAAUGUUUUUUCAUUGAAAAUGUUGUUUAAUUUAAAGCACCACCUAAAAUGAACUAAGCACCAGAGGAGGAAGCUUCUGUCUUAAGGUCUUACAUCCAGGGUUUGGGUCCAAACUUUGUGAAGCUUGUAAAUUACAGACACCUCUGGUCCAAUCUUUAAGUCAUGGGGGAACAUUUCACAACAGGAGAUAGCUACCUUCCCGCUGGUCCAACAGACAAGUAUAUGGGUGUAUAACACUCUUCGUGAGUCCUAGUUGGUUUGUAAGGCUCAUUGGUCCACAUGCCUCUUGGGUCCAAUCUACAAGUCCAUGUGGUCCUCUUUAAGGGUAUUUUUAUUUAAUUAAAAAAAAUAUAAGCACCACAAAAAAAAACUUAGCACCACGGGAGGUAGCUUCCCUCCAAUUGGUCCAACUAACAUGUAUAGGGGUCUAAAGCACUCUAUUGGGGUCUAAGAUGGUUUGUUAAGCUCAUUAGUCCACAGGCACAUAUGGUCCAAAUCUACACAAGUCCUGGGGUCUUUUGGUGUAUAUAUCAUUUAAGAAAAUAUAAGCACCACAGAAAAAAAACUUAGCACCACGGGAGGUAGCUUCCCUCCAAUUGGUCCAACUGAUGUGUAUAGGGGUCUAAAGCAAUCUAUUGGGGUCUAACAUGGUUUGUUAUGCUCAUUAGUCCACAGGCACAUAUGGUCAAAUCUACACAAGUCCUGGGGUCUUUUGGUGUAUAUAUCAUUUAAGAAAAAUAUAAGCACCACAGAAAAAAAACUUAGCACCACGGGAGGUAGCUUCCCUCCAAUUGGUCCAACUAACGUGUAUAGGGGUCUAAAGCACUCUAUUGGGGUCUAAGAUGGUUUGUUAAGCUCAUUAGUCCACAGGCACAUAUGGUCCAAUCUACACAAGUCCUGGGUCUUUUGGUGUAUAUAUCAUUUAAGAAAAAUAUAAGCACCACAGAAAAAAAAACUUAGCACCACGGGAGGUAGCUUCCCUCCAAUUGGUCCAACUAACGUGUAUAGGGGUCUAAAGCACUCUAUUGGGGUCUAAGAUGGUUUGUUAAGCUCAUUAGUCCACAGGCACAUAUGGUCCAAUCUACACAAGUCCUGGGGUCUUUUGGUGUAUAUAUCAUUUAAGAAAAAUAUAAGCACCACCAGAAAAAAACUUAGCACCACGGGAGGUAGCUUCCCUCCAAUUGGUCCAACUAAUGUGUAUAGGGGUCUAAAAGCACUCUUAGGUUAUUGGGGUCUAAGAUUGGUCCAAUUGUUAGUCCAGGGUUUCAGGAUAUAUUUCACUAAAGAAAAAUAUAUAAGCACCACCAAAAAGAGACUUAGCACCACAGGAGUUAGCUUCCCUUCCUUUUGGUCCAACAGAUGGGUAUAGGGGUCUUAAUACUCUUUGGGGUUCUAAGUUGGUUUGUAAGGCUCAUUGGUCCAGGCAACUUUGAUCCACUCUACAAGUCAAGGGUCUUUUAUAUAUUUUUAAUUUGAAGAAAAUAUAAGCACCACCAAAAAAAACUUUUGCACCAUGGGAGGUAGCUUUCCUCCAAUGGUCCAAAAGGUAAGGGGUCUAACUCUUCUUGGUUUAAGGAAAAAGCACAUGUGGUCCAAUCUUCUAGUCCAGGGUCUGUUGGUAUAUUUCAUUAAAGAAAAUAUAAGCACCACCAAAAAAAACUUAGCACCACGGAUGAUUGCUUCCACCCCUUGAUCCAAUAAACAGGUAUAGGGAUGUAAAAAACACUUUGAGAGGUCUAUGUUGAUUUAUAUGGCCCACUGUCUGUGUCCAAUCUACGAGUCCAGGAGUUUUAUGAUAUAUUUCAUUGAAGAAAAACUUGAUUUUGUUUUACAGGGCCAUUUGGUCUACAUGUAUGCACAAAAUGUUACUGACAGGUCUGUAUCCUUAAAGCUAUGUAAAUGCAAACAAAUGUUGUGAGGAGAUUUUAAAGCCAGAAAAAUUGUAUUUCUUAUGAUAAUUCUCCAUUGCUCUUCCUGUCUUCAAGGCAAAAACCCUAUAAAGGAGCAAUUGAAAUAGUAUGAAAUAAGCACCUUAAAACAUGAAGUAACUUUGUAAAAAAGAAGAAAAAAACAAAUAUGAUAUUCAGCAAUGAUAACAGGCUGCUGACUUAGAACAGUCACAUAUAGAAAAACAUAAAUAACAUGACAUGUUCAUUAUGGUGUGAUAUUUAAAAUCACUAUGCUAAAUUAUUGAUUCUUAAUUGUACAUCAUUUUUAUGAAAUUGUGUGUCUAACUAUAUAUCUAAAUCUUGUUUUUCUUUCCGCAGAUUAUCCAAAUUGACGUCAAAAGUGUUCAGAUAUCAGAUGUACUACAGCUAAAGAAUGAAAUUAAUUGUGGUCAUUUCACAGCUUUUGCCUACAGUCAGCUUUUUAUGGUAGGAUAAUAUGCACGUCUUAAGUAUUAAUAGUGUAUACAAAUGUAAAAUAAAUCAAUGUAUACACACCUUUUAUCAAUUAAUAAUUUGUUCAUUCAUUUUCCAUAUUUUGAUAAAUUACAUUGCACAUAAUUUAAAUAAAUUAUCACAUAUUAAAGUAAACAAUAAGUAUAUCCAAUUGGACAAAUAUAAGUUUCAAGUAGACAAUUAUUCUAUAAUAUUACAAAAGUGGCAGAUGACCUGUAGUUGUUAAUUUCUGUAUCAUUUGGUCUCUUGUAAAGAGUUGUCUCAUAGGCAAAUACAUUUACAAUCUGUUAGGGAGCUGAUUUUACUGAUUCAGACAAUUUAUUUCAUUCUAUCUUGAUUGAUUAUGUAGCACUAAACAAUUGUCACAAGCAAACAUGUAUUUGAAUUUCAAGUUAUUAUUUUAAAAAAUUGAGGCUUUAUUAUUUCAGUGAAUUAAAGAAUGAAGAGAAAUCAACUUAUUUAUAUACCCAAGCUGACCAACUGUCAAGAAAAAGAAGACAAGGCAACUCCAUCUGAAGGAAAUUAAAAGAAAAGAUUUUAUCAUUACAACAAUAGAUGUGAAAAUGUUAUUUUUUCAAUCUAAAACACACAUAACAAAAAAUACACUUAAGAAAUACUGUUCAAGAUUGAUUCUUAAAAUAUCAGUCUUACUUUUUUUAUAUACUUGAAGAUGUAUUGUAAAAGUAAAUUUGUUAGAUUAAAGUUUUUCAAGGCUUGAAUUAUCUCCCCUUAUUAAUCUCCAAAAAACUUUAUGCAAGACUAUUUGUUUUCCAACUCCUAGAAUUCUAAAUGUUUAAAGUUGAAAACAUGUGUCAAAAUUUGUUUCUUCUUUGUUUACGGUUUUAUGAUUGGAGUUCAACCUUUAAUCUCAAGAACAAAAUAAAGGAAAUCUACUGUGCACAAAAGUCUUCCUCUUUUUUUUAUGAAUUGUAAAGAUAAUUUUUGAAGACGGACAAUUUAACACUGUAUUAGAGAAAUUUAGUUUGCAGAAAUUCAAGAUACAUUUUGUAAAACCAAACAAUAUGACUUUUUUACUUAAAUUAGUUCUUAUUUCAAAAUCAAAUGACUAAGGGAGAUAACUCUACUUCUAAAUUAUUUAUCUGAAAUAGUAAAUUAAAGUGGCUCAUUUUAGUAUUAUCACUGACUGAUAGAUUUGUCCCUUAAUAGAGAUUAAUGUUCCUAACAAUUGAUGCUAACUUAUAUUUGCUGAUGCAAAUUAUCCCUUAAUUUUAGAUUAUUACUUUUAAAUUAAAUAUAUGUUGUUUUCAGGAGUUGUGUCCCUUUAAUAUUUUUUUAUUUAUCAGAAUAUGUUUGGUAUAUAUGUAAUCAAGGCGGUAUUUU
rnacentral:lncRNA from 1 species